AUACCAGAAUCAGCCACCACAAUGAAGUGCAAAAGUUGAUCUUUAAAAACACACUGGACUGUCAUCCAAAAACCUUGAGUCGGUUACCUUGUGCUCAGAUUUACCCACUUUCCCCCAACCAGGGCACAGAGCUGCAUCCUGAUGAUGCUAACGAGCUUCCAAAUUAUCAUCAAAAUGAGAGGUUCAUAGGGAACUUCAAGACAAAGGAGGCAUACCCCAGGGCAGGGAUAAUUAGCUGGGACUCUAAAAGAGACAUCAAACCAUGGAGGUUGGAACAUAAGUGAGCACUUCAUCAAUGUUCCCUGGAAUGAAAAUAUUGCUAUGAGAUUCCCGAAGAGGCAUAGAGCAUCUGCCUUAGAGGCCUGUGUCCAAACUUAUACCGUAGUGCUUUGCUAAGAGAGGAGGAACUCCAGCAUGUUGUGCAGCAGAAGAGAUGGUGGAAAGUUGAGAGACCAGCUGUCAAUCAGAAAACAGGGGAGGGCAAAUCAACCCUCAGGAUUUAGAUAGCUCUGCCCCAAAGCUUCUCUAUCUCUAGAAAGCCAAGGUGUCAAGUUCUAACAUUAAUGCCCUUUUACAUGGUAAAUUAAAAGGGAAUGAUAUGAAUUGCCAUAUCAAUGCUCUUUUCCCACUCCUAGAACUCCUGUUCCAACUCAGGGGCCUGACCUCUUACUAACAAUAAUAACAACAGUAAUGACUAACACUAAUAUAGCAGGCACUGUUCUAAGGGCUUUAUGUAUAUUAACUCAUUAAUCCUCACAACCCUAUGAGGUAGGUGCUACUAUUAGCCCCACUUUACAGAUAGGUAAGCUGAUGCACAGGGAGUAAGGAAUUUAACCCAGAUUCUACAUCUUCUAAGUGGUGGGACUAGAAUUUAAACCCAGGUCUGUCCAAGUUCAGUGUCCAUUCCUCUUACCUCUAUAUCAGUGGUUCUCAAAGUAUGGUCCCUGAACCAGCAGUAUUAGCAUUACCUGGGAACAAAAUUCUCGUCCUUUUCCCUCUACACCUGCCCACGACAGAGCUACUGAAACAAAAACUCAGGGCUUGGGGGCGAGCCCUC
rnacentral:lncRNA from 1 species